CCUCCGGUAGCUCAGUUGGUAGAGCGGUGGACUGUAGAGGUUGCAUUGAAAUCCAUAGGUCGCUGGUUCGAAUCCGGCUCGGAGGA
rnacentral:tRNA from 1 species